rnacentral:lncRNA from 1 species
AUUAUUACUUUAACAGAUUAUAUUAUUUUAUAUUAUAUUACUUUAACACAACUUUAGAUGUAAAUAAUAAUAGUUCAUGUUGAUUUAAGCAUUAACUAAGAUGCUUUAGGAGUGUUUUUCAUGUAAACAGAUGGGACCUCAUUGUAAAGACUCCUCCCUCAGGCGACCUGGCUUCAGAAACUUGUUCAAGGGCAUAAUGGUGAUGGGACAUCUGAGUAAGCAUGAGCAGCGGACCAUCACUUCCUCCAGCCGCAUUGUGUCUGCGCAUCCAUUCCUCUCCAGUGACUUCACUCGAGCAUCACCGCGCGGGGCCCUAAAGCCUGACGCGUUCUGUUCCGCUAUGAACAGCAGCAGCAGAUCUGCCUACAGAAAGGGGUAUAAAUAAUGACUAUUUGUACAUAAUUUUAUAUUACUAAAGGAGUUUGUUUAUUGCAACCGGACCUGUUUUUUUUUUUAUUCACCAGACCACUUUUACAAAUCGAUGCUGACAAAUAUGGUUCCUUUUUAAGGAUUUGGUUUUUGCCCCAUUAGAGCGGCUGUUAAAAUUUUUUGGAGUGCCACAUGCGUAAAAUGUGUGUAAAACUGACCACACACACUUGUGUCUGUGUGACAACCCUAUAUGACAUGUGAAAAGCAAAAAUCAUGCCCUAUCCCAAAUGAAACCUAUAAUAAUGGCACAUUGGACACCUGUCUUGAUGAGUCAUACAGUCAUAUGCAAUGAUGCUCAUCAUAAUUUCUAAGAAUAUAAUUUGAGACAGGACCAUAAUCUGACUGGGCUCCUGUGUAUUGGCCAAUCAGAGGCAAUAUUAUUAUAUACAUUUACUAACAGUUUACAGUGAAAAUUCUUACAAUUAUUUAUUCAAUGUUGAAUUUUCAGCAUCAUUACUCGUUAAUCUUCAGUGUCACUUCCUUCAGAAAUCAUUCUUAUGUGCUACUUUGCUGCUCAAGAAACAUUUCAUAUUAUUAUCAAUGUUGAAAAAACAAUGUUGUUGAAACCAUGAUUGUCCUUUUUCAAGAUUCUUUUAUAAAUAAAAAGUUUAAACGAACAGAAUUUAUUUGAAACAAAAAUGGUUUGUAACAGUAUGAAUGUUUUACUAUAUUUUUUGGCCAAUUUAUUGCAUCCUUGCUGAAUAAAACAGCGAUGGAAGACAGACAGAAUAUUUGGGAAAGCUUUUAUGUAUAUUUGCAACUGAAUAUGAGAAUAUCAUAAUAAUUGAUUUUCCACCAAUAGGGAAAAUCAACCCAAUGUGAAAGUCAACCAGUUUUGUAUUCAUCAAAUCUAGCUGUCUGUUCAGAAGCUGC